UGCCAGACUCCUACGGGAGGCAGCAGUGGGGAAUAUUGCACAAUGGGGGAAACCCUGAUGCAGCGACGCCGCGUGAAGGAAGAAGUAUUUCGGUAUGUAAACUUCUAUCAGCAGGGAAGAAAAUGACGGUACCUGACUAAGAAGCCCCGGCUAACUACGUGCCAGCAGCCGCGGUAAUACGUAGGGGGCAAGCGUUAUCCGGAUUUACCGGGUGUAAAGGGAGCGUAGGCGGUUUAGCAAGUCAGAUGUGAAAGCCCGGGGCUCAACCCCGGGACUGCAUUUGGAACUGUGUGGCUGGAGUGUCGGAGAGGCAGGCGGAAUUCCUAGUGUAGCGGUGAAAUGCGUAGAUAUUAGGAGGAACACCAGUGGCGAAGGCGGCCUGCUGGACGAUGACUGACGUUGAGGCGCGAAAGCGUGGGGAGCAAACAGGAUUAGAUACCCGUGUA
rnacentral:rRNA from 1 species